GACGAACGCUGGCGACGUGCCUGAUACAUGCAAGUCGAGCGAACAGAUGAGGAGCUUGCUCCUUGAGACGUUAGCGGCGGACGGGUGAGUAACACGUGGGCAACCUGCCCUAUAGUUUGGGAUAGCCCUAGGAAACUGGGAUUAAUACUGAAUAACACUAUUAUCGGCAUCGAUAUUAGUUAAAAGAUUUAUCGGAAUAGGAUGGUCAUGCGUCAGAUUAGUUAGUUGGUAGGGUAACUGCCUACCAAGGCGAUGAUCUGUAGGGGGCCUGAGAGGGUGAUCCCCCACACUGGUACUGAGACACGGACCAGACUCCUACGGGAGGCAGCAGUGAGGAAUAUUGGACAAUGGGUGAGAGCCUGAUCCAGCCAUCCCGCGUGCAGGAAGAAUGCCUUAUGGGCUGUAAACUGCUUUUAUACAGGAAUAAACCACUUUACGUGUAAG
rnacentral:rRNA from 1 species